rnacentral:rRNA from 1 species
UACGUAGGGGGGCAAGCGUUGUCCGGAAUCAUUGGGCGUAAAGAGCGUGUAGGCGGCCCGGUAAGUCCGCUGUGAAAGUCCAGGGCUCAACCCCUGAAUGCCGGUGGAUACUGUCGGGCUCGAAUCCGGAAGAGGUGAGUGGAAUUCCUGGUGUAGCGGUGAAAUGCGCAGAUAUCAGGAGGAACACCGAUGGCGAAGGCAGGUCUCUGGGCCAUUACUGACACUGAGAAGCGAAAGCAUGGGGAGCGAACAGG